CAGGGAUUGAAUACAGGGGCUCUUAAGCACUGAGCCACAUCCCUAGCCCCUUUUUACAUUUUAUUUAGACAAGUUCUUACUAAGUUGCUUAGGGCCUUGCUAAAUUGCUGAGACUAAUGUUGAACUUGUGAUCCUCCUGCCUCAGCCUCCCAAGGUGUUGGGAUUACAGGCAUCCCCCUCUGUGCCCAGGCCUGUCAGUAUAAACUUCUGUGUAGUUUACCCAGUGCAGUACUCAGUCAUGGGAACCAAUAAAUGUCCUUUAAAACAACAUUUUUUUUUUUGUUUUGCCUAAACUGAGUUGUAAGGCUGCUAAUUUUUAAAGUCAGAGUCUUUUUUUUUUUCCCAGAGUCUUGACUAAUACAAAUACUUUGUUUUAAAGGAGGGAAGUGAUUGUGUAAUCCUUUGUGAUAUUGUCCAUUCUGCCUCUGAUGAGAAGGAAUAUUAUCCCCAAGUGGAAAAUACUCCUAGCACGCUGACCAAGAUCAAGAGAACCCUGAUACAGUUGAGCUAGGGCUUGAUGAUUUCUUUGGACUCUCUGGAGUUGCAUUCUGUCAUAAUGAUUGCUGAUAGGAUGUGCAGUGUUCACUCCAUCAAGCAGAAUCUGAAUCUCUCAAGUCUUUGGAGUUAUUUGAAGAAGCUGUGGUCCUUUCAUCUCUUCUGCUUUCCUUGGAGUUUGUUCUGUUUCCUUUCAUCUCCAUCUCAGCACUCUGAAAAGGUAUAAUGGCAUGAGAUCUAGAGUCUGGGUGUGUAUGAAGUAUACGGGCAUGUUCUGAGCAAUCAGAAUUAAUCAUGUGACACCUGUGUGCUACUCCCUUUAUCAUUGCAGUUAAAAACAACAACAACAACAACAACAACAAAACAGGACUAGGUGACUGGGCUUAUCCCCAGGGAAGGCUUAUACUACAGUCCUCCCUGCCUGGCGGAGGCACAGGAAGAAGGCUGGUAACAUUGAGUGACCAGCUGAUUGCCGGCCUGAGGAAUAUCCCCAAAAUCCGUGUUGCCAUUGUUUGGGAGUCUGCCCACCUUCUCAUCAGCUUGUCCCUCUCUUCCUUCAGAAAGUGCUCAGAAUGCUUCAGGAAGCCUUGCUCGAUUUCUUUUAGUGCUAAUAAACCCAUCAUUUGUUGUUUCUUACAUGUGCCCUUCCAUUUCUUUGGGCCCCCAAUGUACUAUAUAUUAUUUGGAGAUAAGAACAGUGUAUACUGGGUUUCCUUUAAGAACAUCAUAGAAAAUAAUGGGGAUAAGGGCUCAAAGGCAGCUUAAUGGAUGGUAGGGCAUGUCCAAAGUUUCAUGGUCAUAUAAAAGAAUAAAACUGGGAGGAAAGUACUUUGUGGUAUGUGCUUCUAAGGUAGAAAAGCUGAGAGA
rnacentral:lncRNA from 1 species